rnacentral:sRNA from 1 species
CACGUGGGAGAACUGCUUACUUGCUCUUUUGUAUGCUUCCGGCUUCUUUUUCCUCCAAACGUAGGCCUUCUCCGUGCUGAAGUUUUCCCCAGCAGCGUAAUACUGUAUUCUGUUAUAGCAGCAGAAAACAGACUAAGAAAACUGUUGGGCUUGUAAGAGAUUGGGACACGGACACAUACAGAGGGAAGACCAUGUGAAGACACAUGGAGAACGCUGCCAUCUACAAGCCAAGGAGACUGACCUUAGAAGAAAUCAAUCCCAAUCUCACCUUAAUGUUGGACUUCUAGCCUCCAGAACUGUGAGGACAUGGGCUGGAUGGUUUCUUAGCCUCCUCAUGACCUGUGGUGCUUCAGAGGUCCACGGAAUGAAGGAUAAGAUGGAGAAGCCAGGCUAAGGAAGGAUUGGGAUUUCCUAAAACAAUUGGAAUAAUUGGUGGAACAGGCCUGGAUGAUCCAGAAAUUUUAGAAGGAAGAACUGAAAAAUAUGUGGAUACUCCAUUUGGCAAGCCAUCUGAUGCCUUAAUUUUGGGGAAGAUAAAAAAUGUUGAUUGCGUCCUCCUUGCAAGGCAUGGAAGGCAGCACACCAUCAUGCCUUCAAAGGUCAACUACCAGGCGAACAUCUGGGCUUUGAAGGAAGAGGGCUGUACACAUGUCAUAGUGACCACAGCUUGUGGCUCCUUGAGGGAGGAGAUUCAGCCUGGCGAUAUUGUCAUUAUUGAUCAGUUCAUUGACAGGACCACUAUGAGACCUCAGU